rnacentral:rRNA from 1 species
GACGAACGCUGGCGGCGUGCUUAACACAUGCGAGUCGAACGGGACGUCCCUGCUUUUGUGGGGUGCUCGAGUGAACACCGGGUGAGUUACCCGUGGGUACCCAAUCAUUGCCUUUGGGGUAACUUCAGGCCGCUUAGGCUCAUCCGACCUAAGAGCUCCUGCUGUAUGGUGGGCGCUGGUUGGUUUAGGCGGUUGGGGAUGGAAUAGCGGAUUAUCAGCUUGUUGGUGGGGUGGUGGAUUACGAAGGCUUUGACGGGUAGCCGGCCGGAGAGGGUGACCGGCCACAUUGGGACUGAGAUACGGCCCAGACUCCUACGGGAGGCAGCAGUGGGGAAGAUUGCACAAUGGGCGGAAGCCUGAUGCAGCAACGCCGCGGGCGGGAUGACGGCCUUCGGGUGGUAAACCGCUUUCGCCGGUGACGAAGCGUGAGUGACGGGAAUGGGUAAAGAAGCACCGGCUAACUACGUG